UACAAUUGCUGCAGAGAACAAACACCCAACUGAGUGGAAAACGUGGUUACAAUUCACAAAUAUUUGUAUCAUCACUUUCAACAACUAAGCAGAUGCUCCUAUCCAGAGAGACAGUUAUUACCUCCAUUUUAAGAUGACUUUUGGGGAAACAACCACAUAUCACAGACAAAUUCCCUUGAAGCUGUCCUCAGACAACCCUCAACCAUCAUCACCUCUGGAUGUUCUACCACCACCAGACCUGCAGUAAUUCAGCUGACCUCUCCCUCUCUAGCACACAACUAAGAUCUGCAACGUCUGGUGAACCAUCUAAGAGGAAGACAAUUAACAAAGUCAGAUAUGGCAACUGCUGGAAACAGACGUAGCAAGGAAAUUGGCCAUGAUAUGUCAAAUGAACUAGGAAACCUCAAGCAUGACAUCAAGUCAUUCAAGGAACGCUUUGAAGGAAAGAGACCAUCUUUACAAGAAAGAGCAAAUUACUUUGAACAGAAAGCUGCUGAUAUUAAGAAAGUGCAGGACGAUGCUGCCAAAGGCAGGAAUGUUGGGGCUGGAAUGGGGGUAGCUGGGGCAGUCACCAGCGUGGUGGGUAUAGGUCUAGCUUUACACACUGGGGGUCUCUCCUUGCCCAUUGUAGGGGCAAUCUUGACUACAUUUGGUGGAGCUACUGUUGUUGUGUCGAACGUCGUCAAGAUGUUGUUUGAGAACAAUGGCCAAGAGAAAAUUAAGAACAAUGCAGAAGAAUUCAAUAAAAGUAUUCAACCAAUUGUUGAAUGCCUGGAAAAAAUCCAAACAAAUAUUCAAACAUUAGAGGAACUGUCCUCCUCCACAUCCACGGUAACUACAGGUCUGAGUACAGCAGCAGAGGUAACCAGACUGCUGAAGAAAGUGGCUGAACUGAGCAAACACAUUAGGCUUGGUGCAGUACGAUUGGAAGGGGUGUUACUUGACAUCGUCCGUCUUCUUAACAUGAUCGUGGCCAUCAUCCAGGUCCGUAGGGACGAGGCUCUUGAAAAGGAGUUCUUUGAUAAGAUCAUAGAAUCAGCUGAACUGUGUCGGAAGACUAUGAUUGACUUUGAAACGUUGACAGAAGAAUUCAACAAGGUGUCAGAUUUCUUACAACAUUUCUGAAAACAGUCAGGUGGUACACUGUGCCCUGAUAGAUCUGAGACUGAAGAAAACGGCUCUGUUUUAUCAAUGCUGUGAUGCAUAACAAGUCUGGAUAAGCUGUACAGAUGGUCAAACCUCUACUUUAACUUGGACAAGUCCUCCAUAGUGUACAUCAUUUGUCAAUUCAAUGUCAUGUAUUUUUUAUUUUGGGGGAGAUGACUUCCAUGUCUUUUCUCUUUGACAUUGUUGUUAAAUUAAUUGCAGUGUAUGUUUUUUUGUUGUUGCAACUAUUGACAAAUCUAAAAUAAAUAUUGUUCUACAAA